rnacentral:lncRNA from 1 species
AAGAAUUUCACAAAUCAUAUAAGAUCAUGACUCACAAAAAGUCCACAAUUGGUCAAUCAACAAAGAAAAUCUCAAUCAAAUUGGAAAUGCACUCAAAAAAUCCAUAAAAAUUCAUGAUCAAACUUAACAUCCAGAAGAAUCAACAUGCAAAAAUUCAGAUUAAUUGAAGUUCAUAUGACAUGGUAAAGAAAUUCCACAAAUUGGACAAGAAAUGGUGUGACACACAUU